rnacentral:rRNA from 1 species
CCUACGGGGAGCAGCAGUAGGGAAUAUUGCUCAAUGGGGGGAAGCCUGAACCAGCCAAGUAGCGUGCGGGAUGAAGGCCCUACGGGUCGUAAACCGCUUUUGCGCGGGGAUAACACCCUCCACUUGUGGAGGUCUGCAGGUACCGUGCGAAUAAGGACCGGCUAAUUCCGUGCCAGCAGCCGCGGUAAUACGGAAGUCCCGAGCGUUAUCCGGAUUCAUUGGGCUUCAAGGGAGCGUAGGCGGGCGUGCCAGUCAGCUGUAAAAUCGCGCGGCUCAACCGCGCCCCGCAGUUGAAACUGGACGCGUUGAGUUCACAACAGGCAGGCGGAAUUCGUGGUGUAGCGGUGAAAUGCAUAGAUAUCGAGGAACCCCGAUUGCGAAGGCAGCCUGACGGGGUGCGACUGACGCUGAGGCUCGAAGGUGCGGGUAUCAAACAGGAUUAGAUACCCGGGUAGUC